UACGUAGGGACCAAGCGUUGUUCGGAUUUACUGGGCGUAAAGGGCGCGUAGGCGGCGUGGUAAGUCACUUGUGAAAUCUCUGAGCUUAACUCAGAACGGCCAAGUGAUACUGCUGUGCUAGAGUGCAGAAGGGGCAAUCGGAAUUCUUGGUGUAGCGGUGAAAUGCGUAGAUAUCAAGAGGGAACACCUGGAGGUGAAGACGGGUUGCUGGGCUGACACUGACGGCUGAGGCGCGGAAAGCCAGGGGAGCAAACGGG
rnacentral:rRNA from 1 species